CUAAUUUAAUAGAGCGUCGCAAUGACUCUCGGCAACGGAUAUCUCGGCUCUCGCAUCGAUGAAGAACGUAGCGAAAUGCGAUACUUGGUGUGAAUUGCAGAAUCCCGUGAACCAUCGAGUCUUUGAACGCAAGUUGCGCCCGAAGCCUUUCGGCCGAGGGCACGUCUGCCUGGGCGU
rnacentral:rRNA from 1 species